rnacentral:rRNA from 1 species
UAUAAACGCUGGCGGCGCACAUAAGACAUGCAAGUCGAACGGAAGUCGUUAUAAAACAGAGAGAAGAUUUAUCGGAUUGAAGUUUUGUAACAAUGGCUUUAGUGGCGGACUGGUGAGUAACACGUAAGCAAUCUACCUAUUAGAGGGGAAUAACAAUGAGAAAUCAUUGCUAAUACCGCAUAAGCUUGUAGUAUCGCAUGAUACAGCAAGAAAGGAGCAAUCCGCUAAUAGAUGAGCUUGCGGCUGAUUAGCUAGUUGGUGAGGUAAUGGCUUACCAAGGCAACGAUCAGUAGCCGGGCUGAGAGGCUCUGCGGCCACAUUGGGACUGAGAUACGGCCCAG